rnacentral:rRNA from 1 species
UACGGAGGGGGCGAGCGUUAUUCGGAAUUAUUGGGCGUAAAGGGCGCGUAGGCGGCCCGGUAAGUCAAAGGUGAAAUCCCUCGGCUCAACUGAGGAACUGCCUUUGAAACUGUCGGGCUUGAGGCCGGGAGGGGGUAGCGGAAUUCCCAGUGUAGCGGUGAAAUGCGUAGAUAUUGGGAGGAACACCAGUGGCGAAGGCGGCUACCUGGACCGGUUCUGACGCUCAGGGGCGAAAGCGUGGGGAGCAAACCGG